GUUCCACAUAAAAAAAUUUAAUUAAUUAGUUAAUAUAAUUAAUUAAUAAAAUUUGCGAACAUUCUUCAGUUCGAGGAUAGAUAUUUUAAUGUUUAAGAUUAUAUAUUUUAGUUUGGCAAGAAAAGGUUUAGCCGUUUGCGAUUACAUGCUACUGAGGUUGUGCGAUUAUUUUAUUAUAUGGGCGCUUAUUAUGUACACAGUAAGACCGGUCAGACAAGAAAUUUCGUUUCUAUGUUCAUUGGAAAGAUCUGGGAUACGUUUUGUUUUCCAAAAUGCAAAUUUGUUUUCCAAAAUAUUGUACAUUUUAAGAAUUUCUUUACUAUUUGGGUAAUUCCAUGUCAAUUCAUCCAGGGGGUAGAACCACCCCUCUUGGAUUUUAUUCAAAUUUGGAGGAAAUAACAAGCAACAUGAGACAUGCCAAAAUCCAAAAUUUCAUACUUGUAGCUUAAUUAGUUUCCGAGAAGUCGGACUUUGUAUUUUGAGAAAUUUGAUCAAAAAUGGGUGUGGCCCGAGCAAAAAUUCGCGGGUAGCGGUUCAGUAAAAUAGUAAUAAAAUCA